AGUCAUAUGCUUGUCUCAAAGAUUAAGCCAUGCAUGUCUCAGUACAAGCCAAAUUAAGGUGAAACCGCGAAAGGCUCAUUAAAUCAGUUAUGGUUCCUUAGAUCGUACCCACAUUUACUUGGAUAACUGUGGUAAUUCUAGAGCUAAUACAUGCAAAGAGAGCUCCCACCGGAGACGGCAGGAGUGCUUUUAUUAGACCAAAACCAAUCGGCGGCGGGCUCGUCUCGUCGUCGUACAACUUGGUGACUCUGAAUAACUUAAUGCUGAUCGCACGGUCACGCACCGGCGACGCAUCUUUCAAAUGUCUGCCUUAUCAACUGUCGAUGGUAGGUUCUGCGCCUACCAUGGUUGUAACGGGUAACGGGGAAUCAGGGUUCGAUUCCGGAGAGGGAGCCUGAGAAACGGCUACCACAUCCAAGGAAGGCAGCAGGCGCGCAAAUUACCCACUCCCGGCACGGGGAGGUAGUGACGAAAAAUAACGAUACGGGACUCAUCCGAGGCCCCGUAAUCGGAAUGAGUACACUCUAAAUCCUUUAACGAGGAUCAAUUGGAGGGCAAGUCUGGUGCCAGCAGCCGCGGUAAUUCCAGCUCCAAUAGCGUAU
rnacentral:rRNA from 1 species